rnacentral:misc_RNA from 1 species
GCGGAGGAAAAUAAACCAACAGGGAUUGCAGCAGUACCGGCGAGUGUGAGUGAAGCGGCAACAGCUCAGAUUUGGAAUCUGGCCCCCAGGGCCCGAGUUGUAAUCUGGAGAGGAUGUUUCUGGCGCGGCGCCUUCCGAGUUCCCUGGAACGGGACGCCGGAGAGGGUGAGAGCCCCGUACGGUUGGACGCCAAGCCUUUGUGAAGCUCCUUCGACGAGUCGAGUAGUUUGGGAAUGCUGCUCAAAAUGGGAGGUAAAUUUCUUCUAAAGCUAAAUACCGGCCAGAGACCGAUAGCGCACAAGUAGAGUGAUCGAAAGAUGAAAAGCACUUUGAAAAGAGGG